rnacentral:rRNA from 1 species
CCUACGGGUGGCAGCAGUGGGGGAUAUUGCACAAUGGGGGGAACCCUGAUGCAGCGACGCCGCGUGGGUGAAGGAGCGUUUCGGCGCGUAAAGCUCUGUCAGCAGGGAAGAAAAUGACGGUACCUGACCAAGAAGCCCCGGCUAACUACGGGCCAGCAGCCGCGGUAAUACGUAGGGGGCAAGCGUUAUCCGGAUUUACUGGGUGUAAAGGGAGCGUAGACGGCAGGGCAAGUCUGGAGUGAAAGGCGGGGGCUCAACCCCCGGACUGCUCUGGAAACCGCCAGGCUGGAGUGCAGGAGAGGUAAGUGGAAUUCCUAGUGUAGCGGUGAAAUGCGUAGAUAUUAGGAGGAACACCAGUGGCGAAGGCGGCUUACUGGACUGUAACUGACGUUGAGGCUCGAAAGCGUGGGGAGCAAACAGGAUUAGAUACCCCUGUAGUC